rnacentral:tRNA from 1 species
AGAAAAGUAAGCUAAUUUUAAGCUAUUGGAUUCAUAUUCCACUUAUAGAGUAUACUCUCUUUUCUA